rnacentral:lncRNA from 10 species
GGAGCCACCGCCUCCCCGCCUCCUGGAGACCCUGAGGGAGAAAUUCCCUUUAAGGCUGAAUGCUUGGGCAAGUGACACGUGGUUUUCCUACUGUCGCCCCAACCUUAAAAGAACGAAUCCAGGCGGGGCAUUAGCAGAUGAUUGAAAAGGAGACAAUCAUUUUGGAGCUCAAAAUCGUACUGUAGGCCGGGCGCAGUGGCUCACAUCUGUAAUCCCAGCACUUUGGGAAGCUGAGGU